GGGGUUGGCAUGGUUUUGACAGCGAGUUGAAGAGGUAUGUAAGCAUGCAGUGCGUGGGUGAUUGGCACUUUAAUCCCAGUUAUCAGAAUUUUAUCUGGCAACAACAAUUAUGCUCUUGCUGCUUGAUCGAAGCAUAGUAGAUCGGCUUUAUCCCUACCACAGUGGUAGGGACAAGACGUCGCUCAAAAGCUCUUGUUCCGAAGCGUUUGAUAAAGCGGCGCAGCAAAAUCGGAAAUAGUAUGGGUCUUGCCUCGUGGCCUGUAUGAAGAUUUUAGGGGCUAAGGUGUCGGUGGGUGGCUCUGGUCUUGCCGACAUUCGAAAACCGAAGGCAGGGAUAAGCAUGUAGAAAGCAUAUU
rnacentral:tmRNA from 1 species